GAAUGCAUUGAAUAGGGAAUCGAGUGGAUUUGUGGGCAUUAAUGAGUUGAAUGGUGAACAAGUUCCAAACAUAACUGACCUUGCUGUCACACAUGCUCAUUCAAAUGCCGGGGCUUCCUUGAACAGGAGGGAAAGAGAAGAAAAGCAGAGUUUGUUGAAAUUGGGAGCUGAGAAGAUUAAAAACAAAACGCUAUAAAAAGCCUCCAAAGCCUCCCCAUCCUCCCACAUCUAGAUGCUACUGAUCUGAAGAUGAUUAGAGAGAUAUCCGAGCUUGCCAUGAUGAAGCGGGCAAGGAUUGAGAGGAUGAAAAAUAAGAUGAAAAAUGCCAAAUCAUCAUCUUCUAAUGGCAACCUGUGUGCCAUGGUUGUUACUGUAAGAAGAAUUACCAUUAUUUUUUGCCUUCUUCUAAUCUCUACCUUUGUAGGAUGACCCACCCCUUGAUGCCUGUUCAAAAAAGGUCAUUUCUUGGAGAGAUGGUGGAACUGUAUUCAUGUUUCUACCACAUCCUACAAUUCAUGCCGAGGAGCCAGUUGCUUCUAGGACUUCUUUUGAGAUAGCAUUCUACUUUUCAAAGUUGGAAAAUAAGGAUGUUUUCUCCAAAAGUGUACAUACGCGAAGGCUUUGGACCACUCCUUGGAUUAUGUUGAUUUUAAUCCUCACUUUUACUAACUAUUCAAUCUUCAUAUUACAGGAUCCAUUUUUAAUAAUUUCAAAAUUUGUGACUCUGUCCCUAUAUGGAAAUCUAAAGUUAUCAACAAUGACCUGAACCCCAUCUGGAUAUCGAGAAAAUUGUGGUGCAAAUUUGUCUGCCCGAUCUCGUUCUGGUGCUAAGAAGAUCCUCAAGGGGCAGCAGGCAGCUGCACGUGGAUAGUUUCAUUGACAAAACUCAAUAUAGUUUCUUGGAUUAUAUAUCCAAUGGAUUUGAGCUUAAUUUUAUGGUUGCCAUUGAUUUUACAGCUUCAUAUGGAGAUCUAAGACUUCCUACUUCCUUGCAUUUUAUUGAUCCUUAUGGGCGAUUACAUUCUUAUCAGCAAGCAAUAGUAGGAGUUGGAAAGGUUCUGCAGAGUGAGAUGUCAUGAUCUAAUUCUUUACAACACCUGAAUAUUGGUGGUACAUUUAUCACCCAUGAAUCACUAUAUGUUGUUGCCCAUACAUGCCCACAUAUCAAGAUGAAGCUAGAGUUAUGAAGUUUAAUCUCAAAUCCAUGUCGAGAAGCCCCAAUGGGACUAUAAGGAACAUUUUAAAUGAGCUUGAACGGUCGAGCAAUAGGCGUAAACAUUGCAAAGGAGAGGCGAUAAGAUAUCAUUGCUUGUAUAAAUUUAUUUUUGGUGGUUGUUGUUUACUUUACAGUAAUGUACUCUUUAAGCCUCCAAAUUGUAAGACAAGAAGUGACUAAAUAAGGUUUCAGUUAAUAUGGUUUGCUA